GAUAAACGCUGGCGGCGCACAUAAGACAUGCAAGUUGAACGGACUUAAUCGAAAUAUUUAUAUUUUGAAGCGGUUAGUGGCGGACUGGUGAGUAACGCGUAAGGAACCUGCCUAUUAGAGGGGAAUAACAGUGAGAAAUCAUUGCUAAUACCGCAUAUGCCAUAGAUAUCACAUGAUAACAGUGGGAAAGGAGCAAUCCGCUAAUAGAUGGCCUUGCGUCUGAUUAGAUAGUUGGUGGGGUAACGGCCUACCAAGUCGACGAUCAGUAGCCGAACUGAGAGGUUGAACGGCCACAUUGGGACUGAGAUACGGCCCAGACUCCUACGGGAGGCAGCAGUCGGGAAUAUUGCGCAAUGGAGGAAACUCUGACGCAGUGACGCCGCGUAUAGGAAGAAGGUUUUCGGAUUGUAAACUAUUGUCGUUAGGGAAGAGAAAGGACAGUACCUAAGGAGGAAGCUCCGGCUAACUACGUG
rnacentral:rRNA from 1 species